GACGAACGCUGGCGGCGUGCCUAACACAUGCAAGUCGAGCGGAGAUACAUUGAAGAGCAAUCAGAUAUGUAUCUUAGCGGCGGACGGGUGAGUAACGCGUGGGCAACCUGCCUCAUACUGGGGGAUAACACAGGGAAACUUGUGCUAAUACCGCAUAAUAUCAUUAUAGGGCAUCCCUGUGAUGAUCAAAGGAGCAAUCCGGUGUGAGAUGGGCCCGCGUCCAAUUAGCUAGUUGGUGGGGUAACGGCCCACCAAGGCGACGAUUGGUAGCCGAACUGAGAGGUUGAUCGGCCACAUUGGGACUGAGACACGGCCCAGACUCCUACGGGAGGCAGCAGUGGGGAAUAUUGCGCAAUGGGGGAAACCCUGACGCAGCAACGCCGCGUGAAGGAUGAAGGUCUUCGGAUUGUAAACUUCUUUGAUGAGGGACGAACACAAUGACGGUACCUCAAAACAAGACCACGGCUAACUACGUGCCAGCAGCCG
rnacentral:rRNA from 1 species